rnacentral:rRNA from 1 species
GACGAACGCUGGCGGCGUGCUUAACACAUGCAAGUCGAACGGAAAGGCCCUGCUUUUGUGGGGUGCUCGAGUGGCGAACGGGUGAGUAACACGUGAGUAACCUGCCCUUGACUUUGGGAUAACUUCAGGAAACUGGGGCUAAUACCGGAUAGGAGCUCCUGCUGCAUGGUGGGGGUUGGAAAGUUUCGGCGGUUUGGGAUGGACUCGCGGCUUAUCAGCUUGUUGGUUGGGUAGUGGCUUACCAAGGCUUUGACGGGUAGCCGGCCUGAGAGGGUGACCGGCCACAUUGGGACUGAGAUACGGCCCAGACUCCUACGGGAGGCAGCAGUGGGGAAUAUUGCACAAUGGGCGGAAGCCUGAUGCAGCAACGCCGCGUGCGGGAUGACGGCCUUCGGGUUGUAAACCGCUUUCGCCUGUGACGAAGCGUGAGUGACGGUAAUGGGUAAAGAAGCACCGGCUAACUACAUG